AUUUCUACUGCUCGCUGUGUCAAAAUGUGAUGAGGCUUCCUGUAACAACACCAUGUGCUCAUAACUUUUGCAAAGAUUGUGUGCAAGAGGCCUUUGCUGGUAAGACGUUUGUACGUAAGAGAUUAUGCUUUAGUGGGCAGGCACUUAGAUCGCACAAGAAUGUCAUGAAGUGCCCUUCUUGCCCAGCUGACAUAUCCGAAUUCCUGCAAAAUCCACAGGCUGCAAAAAUCCUUGCGAACUUGGUUGUUAUUGGAUCCGGAAUAUUAGCAAGAGCUUUAGUUCAAGCAUAUCGUCAGGCACUUGCAAAUGCCUCAAAAUCUGGUGUUGCUCAAGAAACAGUACAGAACAUCAGGAGAGGAAGCAAAAUAAUGGCUGAACUAGAGGCAAGGCAGAUUCUAGGUGUCACUGAGCAUUCAUCGUGGGAGGAAAUCUUACAGAAGUACGAUAACUUGUUUGAGCAGAAUGCUAAGAAUGGCAGCUUUUACCUCCAAUCAAAGGUUCAUAGAGCUAAAGAGUGUUUAGAAUCUGUUUAUUAAAGGAAUGGCCAAGGGACUCCAGAUACCUAAUUUAUUAGAGGGGCUUUGGUUACAAAUGUCAAACAAUAGUGAUGACUUGCGGCAAGGCAUUGUUGGUGGAGCCAGUGAAGCUGGGAGAAUCAAAUGAUUCUUGUUCAUGAGACAAUGAGAUUGAUUUAAUAUGGAGAAUGUCUUAAUCUCCAAGGAGUUCUGUUGACAUUAGAUGCAGUGAUCGCCGGCAGUGCAUUGAAGGGUUCAUUCUUCCUCCAUUCUUGACAGCGUGACUAAAGUUUUAAGAUUGUUCAUCUAUUCUGCCCAAUUUUUUGUACAACACUUCUGAGGAAGACCAACAUGUCCGAUAUUUUUUACAGCGUGACAGGCAACCACUGGCCGCAAAGUUUGAAAGUGGGUCGGCACAAGUCAUCUAUCUAGCUGGGGUGGCGCCCCCUAGUGAUAAUAACAUCAUUUAUAUACACAAAUAGUGGUUGACCCAUUGCCACCCAAAAUCCACGCCAACACGCUCCUAGUUGGUAGCUGUGGUGGGACUCUCCAUCGCACAUCCUCUCAACUCUCAAGUAGGCAAACCAUCGAUGCAUCGGUCAGUGGCUAGUAUCCCAAAAAAUGCCUGAGGCCUGCCCUUGUUACACAUUUCACACUUGGUGUGUGAAAUAAUUGAUGUCAUAUUAUUUUCUUGAAGUGUGAUAAGAAAAAAGAAUGAUAUAUUCUGUUGUUUACCAAUCUUAAAUGCGGCGUCUCCGCACACGGUAUUAUCGAUG